rfam:Ictidomys tridecemlineatus contig003650, whole genome shotgun sequence.
GGAGUUGUAGCUCAGAGGUAGAGCAUUUGCCUCGUACAUGUGAGGCACUGGGUUCAAUUCCCAGCACCA